GUCUCAUAGAUGUUGGGACUGUGUUUGGCAUCUCCAUACCCUGGCUGGGCACCUGCUUAUACAUCAGGCU
ensembl:miRNA MIR9857 microRNA mir-9857